rnacentral:lncRNA from 1 species
UUCUUCUUACAAAAAAAAAAACAUUUUGUAGAGUAAUUUAAUACCCGAAAAAGUUUCUCUAUUGGCACCACACACACACACACACAAAAAGAAAAGAGAGACAGAGGUGUUUGUUUAUUUAUUCAUCAGAACACAUCAAAAGAGUGAUUGAGAAAGAGACUGCAAACACGAGAAACAUCACAACCGUUUCUCUCUCAUUUCUUCUUCGUCUGCAACCAAUCAAAAAAUAACAAUUACUGAGAAAAAUUAACACAUAAAAAAAACUUUUAAUCGAAUUGGAGCUGAAAAAGACACUCACCAGCAGACAGAUCAAUCAAUAGGUAAGUAGGGAGGAUCUCAGAAUCAGAUUCAAUCCAGGAAAAUUAACAAAAGAUAAGGAAGAUUGAUUCUGUUGGCGCGUAGAGAGGAACAGAAGAAUAGAAAACUGAGAGAGAGAGAAGAUGGUAAUUUUUAAAAGGAGAAAGAAACGCAACCACCCAGCUACAAACUCGUUCUUUCUUCUUCAGCUUUCUACUUUUUAUGUGUAGAGAGAGAAAGAAAGUUAUAAACAGAGCAAUAGAGUUUAUUGAUUUUUUUUUUUCCAUAGAGAUUGGGUUUAUUAUUAUAUAAAUAUUUUUUUGAGGCUUUCCUACACACAAUAAAAAGAAUAUCCAUUCAAAUAUAUAAUAAGGUCUCUCGAUCAGUCAAUCAUCACAUGAAAGUGAGAGAUUAUCAGAUUUAAUCCAUUAACAUUAUAAAAUAUGGACUAUACUGCUUCUCUCAAUCCAACUAAGAUUAAGAUUAGAAGAAUCAAAAACUGGUUUAUCAUUUACAGUACUAAACUACUUCUUUGGUCAGCUUAAUCAUUACUAUUUUUAAAGUUAAUCAUGUUUAUGAUAAGUAUACUUUUAUUUAACAAAAGUACGCGGUUGUUAUGAAAAAAAAUGACUGUUUAACGAGGAUAAAAAUCAAAAUAUAUAAAAUAUUUCAUUUUGUAAGAAUUAUGGUGGAUAAAAUGGUACUACUAUCGUUGUAUUUAAUUUGAUUGGAAUGACAGAAGGGAACAAACUCUCAGCUGUGGAACCCAGAAGAAGGGUCACUAAACACAUGCAUGCACACAAGAACUCAAUACACAUGUCGGCAACGAGGCGCAGAUUCCAACACGUUAUCAAACUUCUUCUCAUGCAAGCAGAUCUGCAGAUCAACGUUUUUUGAACAAGAAGACAACCUCUGUUUGUGUUUAUUUUCUCUAUCUCUCUCAUGAAAUCCAAAAUCAUUUUUGACUUUUGCAGUCUCAUCUUCUUCCCAUCUCAAUCAGAUAAUCCAACUCUUUUUUUGGAUAAUAUCAGUGAUUAACUUCAUUUGGAUAUCAAGCUAAUCUAAAUAACUAAUCAGUAUAGCUAAGGUCCAUAAUGUUGUAUAUCCAAUUACUGUAGCUAAAUUGUAGUUGAAAUUAUCAGAAUGAGAUUAGUCGUUAAUUUAACUAUUAAUUUUUAUUUUUAUUUGGAUCAAAUUUCAACUAUUAAUUUUACUGUAGAUUAAUUACUGAUCAAACAAAAUCAAAUCUGGUCGGUUAUCUAUCUACUAAAAUAAUCAUAUCUCAACCAGAUCUAAUCAAAAUUCCUUUCCUCUAAAUAGUAAAAAUACCAAGGCAUCAUCAUCAACAUCAAAAUCUCCUACUUUUUUAUCUUCAAGAACAACAAUCACAAGAUUUUGAGUCAUCAUCAGAAUUGUAUAAACUAGAUAUAAAAAUAAAAAUACAACACAAUGUGUUUCAUUUUCAAGACAACUCAGAGACGUUUCAACAAUUCAGCAACGAAACUGUCUCUAGAAACACCUUUAACUUCCUCCUCACUCCACUCGACCAUCUUCUUCAAUGUCACAACACCUUUACUGAGUUCUGUGUUGCCUACAAUCACCAUCCAAGGAAUCUCUGAACCCUUGCAACGAGCACGAUCAAAAUGUUUUCCUCUCCUUUGGUCACAAUAUACUGACUAGCCAGUUCUGCAGCUUCCCCUAGCUUAUUCUCCUCCGUUACACUAACCAAAACCUGUGUCUCUGUAGAUAGAACAACCUCCAAUUCAUACCAAAACAAAAAAUAAAAGUUAGAAAAAACAAAAUCUUAGGACAGUAAGAAAAAAAGAUUGAGAAGUAAGUUUUUACUCGUUUUUGUUCCUCUUCCAGUUUUUGUCACUUUUCCAAUAUAUUAAACACUCGCUCGAUCCCCAGGCUCAUGCCAACCGCAGGGACUUGCUUUGCUCCAAACAUUCCUAUAAGGUUAUCAAUUUUGAUGAUGUCCUUGUCACAAAACUCAACUUAACUUCUUCACUUUCCAGGCACAAAUCUUGGUAAGUUCAAAAGUGUAUUAACUCUUGCAACACCUUCUAGUGCAGAAUACUCUGUUCCAUGUUCUGUAUCCUCUUCUUUUAUCAGCUUCUCAGCUUCACUUUAGUCUAGAGCAAUAUCUUUCCCUGUUCUGACAGUACUAGACCUGCCUAGACCGCUUGGACCUGAUCCAUCAUCAAUCUCAUCUCCAUCUUCAAGUUUGGAGAAGGAAGAAGCUGUAGAUAUGGCGUUUGAGCCAUUGGAGUUUAGAUACAAGCAGACCGCAGCACAGUCAUCGACUUUGGAGGUUGGGUACUUGUGUCUCCACGCUCUAACCGCAGUCUCAACUAAAGCUCUUGCUGCAGAGGAACGUGAUGGUGCUGAAGCUACAAUCUUCACUACUUCCUCAUUUGAGAGUACAUCCCAAAUCUAUCACACAAAAACAUUAGAAACUGAGCCAAGAAAAUGGAUAGAGAAAAGGAAUGUUUAUGCUCUUAUCAAUUACCCCAUCUGUAGCCAACACUAUGAACUCAUCUUUUUCGGUUAAUCGGCGAAAUGAAACCUCAGGGACAGAGAUUAGACCAAAGUCUUUAAGGCAAAAGUCUCCGAAAGCACGUGCCAUUGCAAGACCAGGCGAGUCACAGUUUGGGAGCCAGACUCUACAAACAUCAGGCUCAUCUCUAAGAGCAAACACACGUCCUCUACACUUCUUUAUUCUCUCCUCCUCAGCUGCAAAAAUCAAGCAAUCAGCACAACUUCAACAAUGAGAUCCAUCAUAAGUUCUUUGUUAUCAUUCAAACCUGGUAGAUUUGGCUUGAGAUCCACAGUUAGUUGAACAGCAACAAGACCAUUUUUACCGUCUCUUGUCCCCAUCACAGCUCUAGAGUCUCCAACGUUUCCAACAACGAGAUACUCACCCUACCAUAAAGCAUAGAAUAUAUAAUAAAAACCAAGAAACAGUGAACCACACUACCAAGCCGAGAGAGUACCUGUUUGAUCAAAGUCACAGCCGUUGUACCACUGCAGAAACAGUCAACACUCCCAUGGAACUUAAGCUCUCUAUCCAUAACAUUAAAAGCCUUAAGAAACGCCUCUUUCAGAGUUUGAAAUAGUUCAGACUCUGUGUUCUCUGGUCUAGGUUCUUCCUCGGUAGAUACAAAAGAAGCAGCAUCUUCAGAGUUGUUGUUGGCACUAUUAUUAGCAGUCUUUAGAGAAGCUUCAACAGGUACUUUAGCUUCCCAAUAAGCACUUAACUUGAGAGGAAGAUUGUCUCUGACUCUCUUAGCAACCAUAUGACCAAAAGGACCAUGCCCAUCAAACACUCCACAGAACACUGUAUCCGUCCUCGAACCAAAACUCUGCAACACACAAAAUGAAAAACCUAUAAGAGAACCAUAAACAAAGAAGACUUAAUUUGUUUUUUUUCUAAACUAACCUCCCAAACAACCAUGGCGUCUUGGUUAGGCCCUUUCUUGCCUUGUUGAGUGAAGAUACAAGCGACCUCACUAGAUCCAUUCAAGAACAUACGACCGGGGACUCGAUGGAGAGGAUCAUCUCUCCUGGAGUCAAAGGAGGAGUUUCUGGAACCGCCAAGUCUCUUAUUCUUGGAGUUUUUUCUUUUUCUCACACCAAAGCCAGGAGAGCAAGGAGAGCCCGGUCUAGGACUCAUGCUCUCAGCAGAUAGACAGGACCCCAUUCUCAGGGCCCUGAUGAUAUUGAAAAGGCACUCCAGGACCAACUAGUUGUACAAUCACACACCCACGGUGGUCUUCACCAAAAGUGGCAAAUGAAGAUUCAGCUAUGGAAAUAAAAAAAUAAACCACUCUUUAUGAUCACCAGAAAGAGCAAAUAAUGAGUAAGGAAGGAAGAAGAAACAAACCUUUAUAUUAUUAGUACCAGCUACUUUCUGCAAGAACACAUAUAGAGAGAAUAAUAAUACAGAGCAGUGUGAAUCUUAAAAAAAAAAAAACAAAAUUGAAUAUAAAAAUGAAGCCUUUCAAAGCUGACCAAGAAAAAGGUAAGGUAUGACUUCUCUGGGUUGUCUCUUCAAAGAAGAAAGAAAAACACGUUUUUGUAAUCUCGCUUUCUUCUUACAAAAAAAAAAACAUUUUGUAGAGUAAUUUAAUACCCGAAAAAGUUUCUCUAUUGGCACCACACACACACACACACAAAAAGAAAAGAGAGACAGAGGUGUUUGUUUAUUUAUUCAUCAGAACACAUCAAAAGAGUGAUUGAGAAAGAGACUGCAAACACGAGAAACAUCACAACCGUUUCUCUCUCAUUUCUU